rnacentral:rRNA from 1 species
GAUGAACGCUGGCGGCGUGCCUAAUACAUGCAAGUCGAACGAGUUCUUGUUGAUGAUCGGUGCUUGCACCAAGAUUCAACAUGGAACGAGUGGCGGACGGGUGAGUAACACGUGGGUAACCUGCCCUUAAGUGGGGGAUAACAUUUGGAAACAGAUGCUAAUACCGCAUAGAUCCAAGAACCGCAUGGUUCUUGGCUGAAAGAUGGCGUAAGCUAUCGCUUUUGGAUGGACCCGCGGCGUAUUAGCUAGUUGGUGAGGUAAUGGCUCACCAAGGCGAUGAUACGUAGCCGAACUGAGAGGUUGAUCGGCCACAUUGGGACUGAGACACGGCCCAAACUCCUACGGGAGGCAGCAGUAGGGAAUCUUCCACAAUGGACGCAAGUCUGAUGGAGCAACGCCGCGUGAGUGAAGAAGGCUUUCGGGUCGUAAAACUCUGUUGUUGGAGAAGAAUGGUCGGCAGAGUAACUGUUGUCGGCGUGACGGUAUCCAACCAGAAAGCCACGGCUAACUACGUGCCAGCAGCCGCGGUAAUACGUAGGUGGCAAGCGUUAUCCGGAUUUAUUGGGCGUAAAGCGAGCGCAGGCGGUUUUUUAAGUCUGAUGUGAAAGCCCUCGGCUUAACCGAGGAAGCGCAUCGGAAACUGGGAAACUUGAGUGCAGAAGAGGACAGUGGAACUCCAUGUGUAGCGGUGAAAUGCGUAGAUAUAUGGAAGAACACCAGUGGCGAAGGCGGCUGUCUGGUCUGUAACUGACGCUGAGGCUCGAAAGCAUGGGUAGCGAACAGGAUUAGAUACCCUGGUAGUCCAUGCCGUAAACGAUGAAUGCUAGGUGUUGGAGGGUUUCCGCCCUUCAGUGCCGCAGCUAACGCAUUAAGCAUUCCGCCUGGGGAGUACGACCGCAAGGUUGAAACUCAAAGGAAUUGACGGGGGCCCGCACAAGCGGUGGAGCAUGUGGUUUAAUUCGAAGCAACGCGAAGAACCUUACCAGGUCUUGACAUCUUUUGAUCACCUGAGAGAUCAGGUUUCCCCUUCGGGGGCAAAAUGACAGGUGGUGCAUGGUUGUCGUCAGCUCGUGUCGUGAGAUGUUGGGUUAAGUCCCGCAACGAGCGCAACCCUUAUGACUAGUUGCCAGCAUUUAGUUGGGCACUCUAGUAAGACUGCCGGUGACAAACCGGAGGAAGGUGGGGAUGACGUCAAAUCAUCAUGCCCCUUAUGACCUGGGCUACACACGUGCUACAAUGGAUGGUACAACGAGUUGCGAGACCGCGAGGUCAAGCUAAUCUCUUAAAGCCAUUCUCAGUUCGGACUGUAGGCUGCAACUCGCCUACACGAAGUCGGAAUCGCUAGUAAUCGCGGAUCAGCACGCCGCGGUGAAUACGUUCCCGGGCCUUGUACACACCGCCCGUCACACCAUGAGAGUUUGUAACACCCGAAGCCGGUGGCGUAACCCUUUUAGGGAGCGAGCCGUCUAAGGUGGGACAAAUGAUUAGGGUGAAGUCGUAACAAGGUAGCCGUAG